GGACACAAAAAAAAAUUCGUUUUCCUUUCUCUGCUUCGCGCGCUUUACUUGGAUUUUUUCUUCGUUUGUCAAGUUAAUUGAACCCCUGAACUUUGCGGCAAAGAAAAAGACAA